rnacentral:lncRNA from 1 species
GGGGCUUGUCCCAGCUCAGUGGGUUCAGAGCCACAAAGUGUGUAUCCCGGCUCUUCCCAACAUCCCCAGUGCUGGAAACACUGCAGAGGGUUGACCUGGAGAAAUCCCAGCUACCAAAAUGCUGCUUUUAAAGGAUGUCAGUCCUGGAUGUGAGGUGUUUCUAGGGAAUGAUGCGGAGCAGGCUUUGCUCUGCAGGUUGGGAGCACUGCUCCCAGCCCCAUUGCACCUUCUGCUUCUUCUCCAUCAUUUCCCACCUCUUUUAUUCCCAAAUCUUCUUUCUCCCAAAAGAAACUUCCUUGCUUGUAACUACACCUGCACCUACAUAGCCUGGAAGAAAAGGUGGAGCCCUGCUGGAGCAACGUGGCUCUUUUUGGUCGUUUGAGGGUCUUACUCUUCAGACAACAGCGUUAGUGCCACGUUGUGCCCUGUCUGGGUGAUGGGAAUUUCUCAGCAGCCCAUGAUGGAUCCCAGGUUGAGUUCCUCACUACCAAAGCUUGUCACAGCCCCUUGGCACUGUUUGGAAACAGCCUUUGGCUUCUAUCCCUGUCGUAUCUCCUUUUGCAUUGAGGUUUUUGGGUGACAUGAAGAGCCAAGUGCUCAUGUCCCUCAGUGGCGGGACCUGGUGCUUUGGGCCUGGUUGGUGACCCUCCAUGCUGAGUUCUUCCUCACCCACAGCUUGGUUUGGUGGAUGCAGGAGGAUGCUGGUGUGGGGACAGGCUGGAGCAGAGCUUUGCCAUCUGCCCUGUGUGUCCAUGGUUGAACUCCAACCCAUCCCUUAACACACGCCAUAGAGACGGGGCUCCCCUUCCAUCUGGCUUGCUGGGUGUCCUCCAUCAGCAGGGACCCUCCUGAUGACCAUCAGGAAAGUGUUUGCUGCUUUCUCUUCUAUUUUAUCCUCCUUUUAUCCUUCUAAUCCAAGUCCUGCUGGCACUUCAGCAGGGUGCCACCAGCAGCAGCAGCAAUGGCCGUGGGUUCCCUGCCUGUGCUUAGUACCAUCAGGUGAUACUUGAAGAGAUUCGGGGUGUUUUGCCCUUUGGCACCUCUUAUAUCUUCUUCCUCUUGUGUUGCUGCUGCAGUGUGGGCCCAGCAGCCACCCUGACCCCAUCAGACUAUAAACCCACCCAGUAGUUGUGUACAAUGAAAGACCUGUAAACCUUUCCUAAAUAAAACAUGUCUAUACCUUG